CAGCACCACCACUGAAGAGAAAGCUCCAAAUUAGCAAAUUGCACUUAGGUAACUGAAUCGCAAAGCAGCACCAGGUGAGAUAAUUUACAAACAAGAGUCAAUAAGGAAGAUCAGGCCAAAGACUAUUUUCAACACCUUCAAAGUUCAGACCCAAUACUGAAGUGCCACUGAAGUCUGUUGGGAAAGCUUUGCUGAAGUAACUAUUGUUAUGUGGGAUGACAAAAUCAGGAGAACAAGAGAAGAAGCUUCAUUCUGGCACUGGAAGAGUGACUGAACCACAUCAGCAAUGAGUUGCAAGCCCAUAAAGAGAUGUUAUAAAUAAGCACAAGAAAGAAAGAAAGAAAGAAAGAAAGAAAGAAAGAAAGAAAGAAAGAAAGAAAGAAAGAAAGAAAGCAUCUGGCAGUCAGCAUGAAGGUCAAUACACAGUGCGUGCCAGGAGAUAUGCCAACCCCAGCAAUGGCAUUUGACAAAAUGUCAUUUUGAAUGGAUAAGUAUAGUGCUGACUUGUGUCUUUUGUCAGGCUGCUCCUCUUGACAGUGUGAUAUUUAUAGUCAAGGCCUCAAAAGAGAUGACUGGUACUCCCAGGGAAUUACAACUGGAGAGGUGGCCCAGCUUCUGCUGGCAAACAUAAAUAUUUGACGUGGUAGAGGGGGGCGGCUGAAAUGAUUUCCCGCUGGGCUAAGGAAAGGCAAGAAGGGCUCCCUGGGUGCCAAGUGAACCCCCUGCACAGGAUUCCCACUGUUUGUUCAUCCCUGCAGAAUGCAGACAUCCCAUACAGUGUCUGUGCCCUCAAAGAGGUUUUAAAUUUUAGACACAAGCAGUUUGUGAGCAGCAAGCUCUCAUUAAGGCCUGGACUGAGCUAUUAGCCACAGCAAAGAUAUGAAGUAACAAUUAAGUCAGUACAAAAGUUGUGAAUUGUGGCAAAAGCAACGGCAUCUAUCUCCCACUCUUCCUCUGACAAACGCAAAAGUGCAAGGCCUGUCCCCACCUUGCCCAUUGUGUGAAACAGCACUACUAAUAGU